GAUGAACGCUGGCGGCGUGCCUAAUACAUGCAAGUCGAGCGAACAGACGAGGAGCUUGCUCCUCUGACGUUAGCGGCGGACGGGUGAGUAACACGUGGAUAACCUACCUAUAAGACUGGGAUAACUUCGGGAAACCGGAGCUAAUACCGGAUAAUAUAUUGAACCGCAUGGUUCAAUAGUGAAAGACGGUUUUGCUGUCACUUAUAGAUGGAUCCGCGCCGCAUUAGCUAGUUGGUAAGGUAACGGCUUACCAAGGCAACGAUGCGUAGCCGACCUGAGAGGGUGAUCGGCCACACUGGAACUGAGACACGGUCCAGACUCCUACGGGAGGCAGCAGUAGGGAAUCUUCCGCAAUGGGCGAAAGCCUGACGGAGCAACGCCGCGUGAGUGAUGAAGGCCUUCGGAUCGUAAAACUCUGUUAUUAGGGAAGAACAAAAGUGUAAGUAACUAUGCACGUCUUGACGGUACCUAAUCAGAAAGCCACGGCUAACUACGUG
rnacentral:rRNA from 1 species